rnacentral:misc_RNA from 1 species
CAAUUUCAUCUACGAGUAAUACAACGUAGAUCGACGAAAAAAUAGUCAAGUAACUACGCGUUAUCAAAGAUUACUCAAAAAGUAGUUAUCAGAUCUCGAUAAAAUUUACAUGAUAAACAUCAGCUUUCGAUUAAAUUAAAAAUUAUCAAAAUCGGUACACCCAGUAAAAAGUUAUUGCAGAUUUUCGAGAGUUUCCCUCGAUUUCUCUGGGAUCCCAUCAUCAGAUCCUGAUUUCCUUAUCAUGGUACCAAACUAGGGAUAUUCCGUUUUCAACAAAAAAAGAAUUAUCAAAAUCGGUACAUCCAGUAGAAAGUUAUGCUGUAUAAUACAACGUAGGUCGACGAAAAAAGCGUCAAGUAAAAACGCAUUAUUAGAUAUAACUCGAAAAGUAGUUGUUAGAUCUCAAAUAAAUUUAAAUGGGACCAAUUGGCACACACCACCUUUCGAUUAAAAUAAAAUUUGUCGAAAUCGGUCCACACGAUCAAAAGUUCUGAUGUAACAUACAUAAAAAAAAAAAAAAAAAAAUA